UUCAGAUCACAAAUUGAAGUAACUCACCCUUCUCACAAUUCUCUUGAAAUAAAAUGUGAAAGCAAUGGACCAAAGAUAGACUGGAAUGGAGGAGAGGGAAUAUUUGAAGCUGAAAUCACAUACAAUGGAGAGCCUCUAAUCACCAAACCCAAAACUAAAUGUUCAUUUCAUUUUCCAGAUCUUUACUACCUUACAACAUAUAAAAUUAAGAUUACAGCCAAGAAUAAAGAAGGACAUUCAGCUUUCAUUACUUCUGAAGUUACUACUCAGUACAAUGAUAAGGCUGUCUUUGGAUUCCGAGUUUUCCUGAGUGUUGUGAUCUCAAUUGCGCUGCUCUUGAUGUUCUUCAAAAUGUACCUUCACAAAAGAAAGCGUGAUAGAGAAGAUGGAGAAGAUGAAGAAUAUGAAGAUUGUAUGUGAAUGUUCCGAUGCAUGUACAGAGAAUGGAGACAAAACAACAGACGAGGGAGUGAAUAUGAAUGGCUGCAGUUUUAUGGACAAAUAUGUUAAAAUUAAAAUCAGUGUAUCAUCAGAAUAGAUUAAUGCAUAUCCAGAGGAAGCACAACUUUUGGACAUUCUUUAAAGUGACCACAAAAAGUAUUUUUAUGCUUAAGUCAAAAUUGAAACUUUCCAGUUUGUUAACACUUAAAAAUAAAAGCAAAAAGAUUCUGUUACAUUAUAUAAUGAUAGUUGUCUUUAGAUGUUAUUAAAUGCAUCCAAAUACUCUUUGGGGACAGAAGAGAGAACGCUGUGAAAAUGUAUUACCUUUUCAUCAUUUAAUGUUAAAGAUUUGUUUAGCUUGCCUUACAGUAUUAUGUUAACAAAUGAAUGGACAAUAAAUGCAGUGCAAUACAGAACUGAGGUUUAAAUAUCAAUAAUCAAUAUCUUCGCUUGUCUGAAAAGUUGAACAAGAUGUGUUAUGGAAGUACACAAGUACAGGAAU